rnacentral:lncRNA from 1 species
CAAACACAUAAAAAACUGUUGGAAUUUAGCCCAUAUGUGACACAAUUAGAGCGACCGUGUAAGGAAGUCUUAGAUCUUAUCCAUAUGAUUUGGAUACACCCUCAGAGAUUUUAAUCCUUACUUAAAUUGGAAUCAAGAGAAUCUCUUAGAGAAUCCUAGUAGAAUUAAAUUAUGACUCUUAGCGAGCCUAUAAAUAGGACACCAACAUUCCAAGAUCAGGGUUCUUGAGUUGUGGAGAUUUGUGAUUGUUCGAGUAAGCUCACACACACGAGCUUUAAUAAUUGUAAGUAACAAUAAUAUUGUAAGGUUAUAGCAAGGAAUUGGACUAGAAGAUUGUAGAUCCGUAUAGUACCACCACAUGCUUCCGACAAAAACAUUUGAAUGUGUAGAACUUUCUAUUAACCUAUUAACUACCCAAAAAUAAGUAGCCUAUCCAAAUGAUUUAACAAUAGAGAUCACAUCUCUGGAGGCAACCUUCUCUGGUGGCAAGAGCAUCUAUUUUGGAUCUUUUUCGAGUGAAAGAAGUAUCAAUUACCAGUUUAAGUAACUUUGUUAUCCAAUGCAUUCCACAGAAUUUCAUGGAAAGAGUUAUUCUUCAAUUAGAAAACAAAAUAACAAACCUCACGCUGCCUAUUCCUCUCAUCAUAUAGAACUUUAUUAAAGAUCAGGCCAUGUUAAAGGUGUAAAAAUGGACAAGGCUGGCCCAAGCCCGCCAAGUCCAUCAAUAAGAGCUCAGUCCACAGAAGGCACAGCCCAACUACAUUGGCUCUAGGACCCCCCCAGCCCAUACCGGGCUGGCUUAGGUGGCCCUAUUAAUUAAAAAAAAUAAAGAACUAUGCCCGUUAAUCAAGAAAACAUAACCAACUCUUACAGACUGCAGAGUCCAAUGGAUUUUGCAUCCAGCAGCUCUGAAUUAAUGCAGAGUCCAUUUCUAAUUGAAUUUUUUUUUGAGAUGUUAUCAAAGAAACGAAAAAUGAAUAUUUUUUAUAUUAAAUUACAGCCUAGCUGAUAAAUAAUUUGUCCAUCAUUACAAUAAAGAUUUACUAUCCUUAAGUUUCUUAUUUUUGAGUCCUAGUCCUUGGUUUAGUACUUACAGAGAGGAAGUAACAAUUGGAGGUCUUGGAAGAUGAAGAGAAGGCUCUGUGCAACUAUCUUUCUAGUGAAUAAAGUACUUAGAAGAAAAUCAGAUAAAAGUUCAUGGUUUCAACGUCAACAUAUCUCAUAAACAAAAUCAAAGUUCAGUGGGAGUAACCAAGUUAUCCUGAUGUUGAGUUAUUAAAAAAAAUUAUCUCUACAAGUUAAAUGUAGCUGAGAUAUGAAUACUGAGAUGGAUUUGUGGUAAAACGAGUAGUAACAAAUAAGCAUAUUCAUUAAUUGGAGCCAGUUGAAUAUGAAUCGGAUGAAAAAUGAUUAAGAUGGUUUGAGCACAUUUUAAAAAAAAAGCUUUAUCGCACCAAUUGGAAAAGAAAUGAUACUAGUACCGAUAAUGAUAGAAUUGGAGAUCCUAUUGCAAGCAAAGCAUCAAGUGCAAUGAUUGCAUGAAGCCAUUUUCAGUCAUUUAUCGAAAUAUGUUUCAUCCUCUCGACCCACAAGAUCAACAAAGAGAUUGAUAUGGCUCAGCGCCACUUUAUAAAGUAACAUUGAUGGAGAUACACAGGCAAUAAAAAGUGCUAGUUAGAGCCCUCUUUAAAAUACUUUAACCUAUAAUUAUUUUUGUUAGUCAAUUUACUUCGGAGCUUCUCCUCUGACAUCCAUGGAUAAAAUUCUGACAACCCAAAAAAAUAAAAAUAAAAAGGAGAGAAGUGAAAGUUAAUCAAAAAUUAAACAUUAUAAAUGUGAUAAUCUAAUAAAACCAAUUUGAUAAUGCAAAUUCAUUCCUCUUUCCACUCCACAGCGCAAAAUCAUUGCCUCUUUAUAUUCAAACUAAGCAGAAUCAUUGUUUAAUUUUUUACUAAUCGGUUCUCCUUCAAAUUACAUGAUCUGAAAAUUGAAAUUACAGGCAGAAAAUACAUAGUAUGCCUUAAUAAAUAAAAAAUAGUGCCUGAUUUCUUUUAACGAAAAUUUACCUUUUAAGAGCUCGACAAUGCACCUUUCUUCUGCUUCUUUGUAUAAAAUUUCAUCCUCAAUACUAUUGCCCCGAUCUGAAGCUAUACUAGAGAGAACGAGGGUCAUUUUGGAAAAUUGCACCAUCAGUCCUCAAUUAUCC